rnacentral:rRNA from 1 species
AGUGGCGAACGGGUGAGUAAUGCAUCGGAACGUACCGUGUAGUGGGGGAUAACGUAGCGAAAGUUACGCUAAUACCGCAUGCGCCCUGAGGGGGAAAGUGGGGGACCGCAAGGCCUCACGCUAUAUGAGCGGCCGAUGUCGGAUUAGCUAGUUGGUAGGGUAAAGGCCUACCAAGGCGACGAUCCGUAGCGGGUCUGAGAGGAUGAUCCGCCACACUGGGACUGAGACACGGCCCAGACUCCUACGGGAGGCAGCAGUGGGGAAUUUUGGACAAUGGGCGCAAGCCUGAUCCAGCCAUGCCGCGUGAGUGAAGAAGGCCUUCGGGUUGUAAAGCUCUUUCAGACGGAAAGAAAUCUCUCGGGAUAACACCCUGGGAGGAUGACGGUACCGUAAGAAGAAGCACCGGCUAACUACGUGCCAGCAGCCGCGGUAAUACGUAGGGUGCGAGCGUUAAUCGGAAUUACUGGGCGUAAAGCGUGCGCAGGCGGUGAUGUAAGACAGAUGUGAAAUCCCCGGGCUCAACCUGGGAACUGCGUUUGUGACUGCAUCACUCGAGUACGGCAGAGGGAGGUGGAAUUCCGCGUGUAGCAGUGAAAUGCGUAGAUAUGCGGAGGAACACCGAUGGCGAACGCAGCCUCCUGGGCCAGUACUGACGCUCAUGCACGAAAGCGUGG